GGUGUUUGAGCAGAAAGGAGGCACAUUUACGAUCAAGAUGAGAGGACUUACACUGCUGUGUUUGGUGGGAUUCAUUCUAACAGCCUCGUGGCCUAAAGGAGGCACGGUGCCGCUUGCAAAUACAGGAACAGAUACAUCACAGACCAAUGUUUCCCCGACUACAGCAAAAGAUGUAAAAGUGGUCCAAGUGCCCCGGCCCCAUCCAUUUGUCAUCGGUACUUCAGCGAUGAAUCCUCGACUUAACUGAUGGAGAAGUGAUCGAGGUGAACCAAAAAUGAAGACAGACGGCAGAGGGGCUGAACAGAUGGCAACAUGUUUUAAAUCAGAGAUGACAAUUUAAGUAUUUAGUUGGCGUUUCUGUCUCCUUCAAAUAAACAUUUCAAGUCUG